ensembl:snRNA U4 U4 spliceosomal RNA
AGCUUUGCACAGUGGUGGUAUCGUGGCCAAUGAGGUUUAUCCAAGGCACAAUUAUUGCUAAUUGAGAAGUGUUCUUUGGCAUCCGUGAAUUCCCUGCUUUUGAGAUAGGUGCUGGUUUGGUCCUCUCCGGGUGGUAGGGAAACAUGCCCACUGGGGGCCAUGAGAGAGAGCAGUUUCU